AGCGAACGCUGGCGGCAUGCCUAACACAUGCAAGUCGAACGAGACCUUCGGGUCUAGUGGCGCACGGGUGCGUAACGCGUGGGAACCUGCCCUUAGGUUCGGAAUAACUCCCCGAAAGGGGUGCUAAUACCGGAUAAUGUCUUCGGACCAAAGAUUUAUCGCCUUUGGAUGGGCCCGCGUUGGAUUAGCUAGUUGGUAGGGUAAAAGCCUACCAAGGCGACGAUCCAUAGCUGGUCUGAGAGGAUGAUCAGCCACACUGGGACUGAGACACGGCCCAGACUCCUACGGGAGGCAGCAGUGGGGAAUAUUGGACAAUGGGCGAAAGCCUGAUCCAGCAAUGCCGCGUGAGUGAUGAAGGCCUUAGGGUUGUAAAGCUCUUUCACCCGGGAUGAUAAUGACAGUACCGGGAGAAUAAGCUCCGGCUAACUCCGUG
rnacentral:rRNA from 1 species